CCCCAAAUUUUGACUUUUUCUCCAAAUACCUACAAAAACUCAAUCUUCUUCCCCUUCCCCAAUUCUUUCAAACUCAUACACUCUCAAACUCCUGUCACUCCAAUUUCACCGUAACUUCUACAAUAACCCUAAUCAUGGUUGAAUGAGGAGGAGACCGCGACGGCUUUGGUAGAGGCUUCGGUGGUAGAGAUCGUGGUGGCGAUCGUGGCUGUGGAUGCCUUCGUGUUGGCCGCGGUGACGAAGAGGAGAAGUAGGUUCCAGUCGUGCAGGCCAUCAUGACGAAGAGGAGAUUGUGGCCACGACUGCUAUUCCGGAAACUUAUUGGUUGAGAACCCACCAGACCACUCGCUUCCGGUGGUGGUGCUGCCGUCUCUUGUCUUGGAUUAUUUGAUCCAGACACCGCCUCAAUCCCAUUUUGGUGAUGGGCCUUUUGCUGUUGUUUGAUGUGGGCUAGCAAAGAAUGAAUGUUUCAUCAAUACUUUUUGUGCAAAGAAAGUUGAUUUGACUCUCAAGGUUAUAUUCUAAUUUUAUUUACGAUAGCAGCAUUUCUUGUUUGUUUCAGUGCUGCAAAAGAGGUGGAAAUUGAUAUUUGUGGGCACUUCUUCUUGCCGGCUCGCAGUUUCUUUCUUUGUUUUUUUGUUUCCUAUCUUUUUUCCAUUUUGAAUUCUCCAGAUUUUCAGAUGCUUGUUAACAGUAAUAUAUAUAAACAGGUGGAAUAUUAUUCUGUAAUUCUGGUUAAAUAAUGCUAUAUAAUCUUUGAAUCUCAAACACCAAGAUCAGAUGCCUAAAGACACUUGUUUUACUUUCUCAAUCCAUUGUAAUCGUUAACCAUCUCUUAUUUAUUUUCUAUCCAUUGCUAUUUUGCUUUGAUGUUAAUCAUACAAUUGUUGGUUCAGUAUAGUGGGCCAUCAAAAACAUGUUCUUGCUUAUGCUAACUUGUUAAGAGAAGAUCCCAGAUUUUUGAAUAUCCUAGUUCAAGUUUCUCCAGCAAUAGAUGGCCAUGCAUUUCGAAAGUUGAAGUUGGGUUAUAAGCCCUCACUUGUGCAAAGGGAGUGAGGAGAACAUUCGCCAACUUGUAAGCUUUCUUUUCUCCAGUUGGAAGGAUAUUUUUCACAUGUUUCUUUACUUGACCCAUCAAAGAUGCUGCUUCUGAUCCUUUGGCGAAUGUUGACAAAGAAAAGACAGAGGUAUUGAUGUAUUGCACUGGGGGUAUCUGUUGUGAUGUAUAUUCGACAAUUCUAAGCUAACUCAGUUUUCUCAUCUCUUCCUUCUUUAGAUAAAACAUGAAAAUCUGAUACAGUACGCACUUGCAUUCGUAGUUUUUGCUUGAUAAUUGAGAAACAACUUCAAUUGCUGUAAAAGUUAGGUUAUAAGAUUCAUUUCUCUUCUACUUUCUUAUUUUACAAAAAUACAGCUUUCAUUGACCAUGCCCAAAUACUGAUAACGUUUAGUACACGUUGAUAGAUAGGAAUUAGGAUUCUAGUUAUAAGGAAACAGCACUAAAAUUCUAUGGCGAUAUAAAGAGAACUUGCAAUGAUGGUAGCCUUUUGAGAGGGUUAUCUUUGCUCCAAGAUUACUAACUCCCAAAAUUAUGCCUAAUCUCCAUCUCCCUAACUAGAUUUAUAUAUUCCCUAACAACUUCGGUAAUUAUAAUUGUGCAACUAUUUAACAUAUUGCAGUGUGAUUGUCUUUCCAAAAAGUGGAGAAGCCUUUAUAUUAUUGAUGUAACUUUAGCCUGUAAUAGAUACUUUGCAAAACUAUGAGUAAUCCGUAGGCAUGAAGAUAUAA